rnacentral:tRNA from 2 species
GCCGGGUUAGCUCAGUUGGUAGAGCAACCGCCUUGUAAGCGGUAGGUCGCGAGUUCGAGUCCCGCACCCGGCACCA